UGUGAAUAUAUCGUUCAAAUUGCUACUACUUUCCUACAAAGCGCUGGCGAAAGAAAUCUCACGAUUUUUGUAUGGGGUUUUAAACAAUUAUUCUGGUCAACUUAUUUGACCUAUGCCAACAUGAUUGAGAAGAUAAAAGUACACUCAUAGCCUACUAGGAAGGUUUCUUCUUUUGGAUUUUUGCUGUUACAUAUGACGCAUGUUACUUGUUUCCUUAGGUUGAUGGCAAAAGUUUUCUAACUUGGGCUAUAUCCUUCUUUGAACCAAGAAGGGAUCGGUAGACGGAAAGUUUUUUGGUCCGUUGAAAUCAAAACCUACCGAUAAUGCGAGGACCUUAAAGCCGUGUAACUACUAAAACAAAGAUUUAAAUUAGUGAAUGUGAUGUUUCUUACAUUACUUUGUGCUCCAAAAAUAAAUUUGACCAAAAUCUAUUUUAUGUACCAAUACUGCCAUUGGUAAACUUCUAAGCCAUUUGAAAAAUCCGCUAUAUUAAAUUUGGUGCUGCAAAUGUGAAGCUACAAUACGCAACUUCGGAUUCUUUAAAUUUAGGUCAUAAAGCAAUAUUGCCUUUCAUGAAAGUAAGGUUAAUGUUGGAAAACUGAUUUAAAUCACAUAACCUUAUUGUAUUGGUUGGUUAUAUCCGAUUUCUUGCAGAAGUACAUUCUGUGUUUUUGAACGUUUUUUGUACCGUGAAAGAAUUAAUCAAAAUUACUUUGGAGUUUCGAUUGAUUGUUAUGGGUUUACCUGGACUUUUUAAGAUUCUCUCUGCAUUGUUUAUCAUAUAAUGAGUAUUUAGCGUAAUGUUUAUAUCAUCGUUGUAAGCGGCAUUGCCGGCUCGGUUAGGUUUAAUCCUAAAGUUAUUUCUCUAACGGAAGCAAUAUAAAAACAACGGAAUUAGCCAUGCUUUCUUUCAACAUUUGAGUGCAAGUUUUUAAGUUUUGAGUGA